GGUUAAGCGACUAAGCGUACACGGUGGAUGCCCUGGCAGUCAGAGGCGAUGAAGGACGUGCUAAUCUGCGAUAAGCGUCGGUAAGGUGAUAUGAACCGUUAUAACCGGCGAUUUCCGAAUGGGGAAACCCAGUGUGUUUCGACACACUAUCAUUAACUGAAUCCAUAGGUUAAUGAGGCGAACCGGGGGAACUGAAACAUCUAAGUACCCCGAGGAAAAGAAAUCAACCGAGAUUCCCCCAGUAGCGGCGAGCGAACGGGGAGGAGCCCAGAGCCUGAAUCAGUGUGUGUGUUAGUGGAAGCAUCUGGAAAGGCGCGCGAUACAGGGUGACAGCCCCGUACACAAAAAUGCACAUGCUGUGAGCUCGAUGAGUAGGGCGG
rnacentral:rRNA from 1 species